GGGCGAUAGGGGUGAAACGCCAUUAGAUUCAAUUAGAUAAGAUAGGUGAUCAAAGUUCAAGAAAUUUGAGAAAACUCGAUAUUCUCGACUACGAAUCUGGGGGUCGGGGGUUCGAAUCCUCCCCGGUGCGCCA
rnacentral:tRNA from 1 species